GGCCUGCAGGAGGAGGCGGCUCGGCUUCAGGGACUCGCGUAAAUGCUCUGGUUUAGGAAUUCUGGGGGUUAUCAGCAGAGGAGCCUGAGGGCCAAGGAGAGGAGCAGUCAACGCUUGUCUAUAGGCAGAAACCCCACAGAAGUCCUCCCAGAGCACAAGUCACAAGAAGCCACAAGAAAGCCAGCUUUCCCAUCGCAGAGAGAGGACCCCAGGCUUCCAGACCCUUCUGCCUCCAGUCCCUGCACCUGUCACUGUUCUUCCACCUCCCAAUAAAUGUCUCACUUGAGCCAAGGUCCCUGAUAAGGCAGUUUGGGGGCUGGGGUUGUGUGGAUGCACACCCUCCCCUAGGGUGAUUUGCCAAAUAUAAGACAUGUG